rnacentral:rRNA from 1 species
CAAUAGCGUAUAUUAAAGUUGUUGCGGUUAAAAGCUCGUAGUUGGAUUUCUGCCUGAGGCAGCCGGUCCGCACUUAGUGCGUGUAUCUGGUUUGGUUUGGGCAUCCUCUUGGGGAUCGUUGCUGUGCUUAGUUGCAUGGUGCGGAAUUCAAGACGUUUACUUUGAGGAAAUUAGAGUGGUUACGGCAAGCUAUCGCUUUGAAUACAUUAGCAUGGAAUAAUAAUAUAGGGCGUAAGUUCUAUCUUGUUGGUUUCUAGAACAUACGCAAUGAUUAAUAGGGACAAUUGGGGGCGAUCAGUAUUCUGAAGCGAGAGGUGAAAUUCUUGGACCUUCGGAAGACUAACAAACUAGCGAAAGACAUUGUCCUAGGAGUGUUCUCUUUAAUUCAAGAACGAAAGUUAGGGGAGUCGAAGACGAUCAGAUACCAU